rnacentral:rRNA from 1 species
UACAGAGGUCUCAAGCGUUGUUCGGAUUCAUUGGGCGUAAAGGGUGCGUAGGCGGCGCGGUAAGUCGGAUGUGAAAUCUCGGAGCUUAACUUCGAAACUGCAUUCGAUACUGCCGUGCUUGAGGACUGGAGAGGAGACUGGAAUUCAUGGUGUAGCAGUGAAAUGCGUAGAGAUCAUGAGGAAGACCAGUGGCGAAGGCGGGUCUCUGGACAGUUCCUGACACUGAGACACGAAGGCCAGGGGAGCAAACGGG